CCAAAUCGGAGUCUUGGGUGACGCACUGCAUUGCGGGAGAGGUCAGAGUUCACUAGUACCAAACACAGCCAACACGUGUGAGCGGCCAUUUAAAUCCAAGCAAUUUCUCUCUCAGUUUAUCAGUAUUUUGUGUCUCUCUGGUACCAGCAGCCGCAGUAAUUCCAGCUCCAAUAGUGUAUCUUAAAGUUCCUGCAGUUAAAAAGCUCAUAGUUGGAUCUCGGGAUCGAGCUGCUGACGGCCCACAGCGAGGCCCAGCCUG